UACGUAGGGUGCGAGCGUUAAUCGGAAUUACUGGGCGUAAAGCGUGCGCAGGCGGUGAUGUAAGACAGAUGUGAAAUCCCCGGGCUCAACCUGGGACCUGCAUUUGUGACUGCAUCGCUAGAGUACGGUAGAGGGGGACGGAAUUCCGCGUGUAGCAGUGAAAUGCGUAGAUAUGCGGAGGAACACCGAUGGCGAAGGCAAUCCCCUGGACCUGUACUGACGCUCAUGCACGAAAGCGUGGGGAGCAAACAGG
rnacentral:rRNA from 1 species